AGUCAGUUGGAGUCUGCUGACCAUACUGCGAGGAGGAAGAGACAGGAAGCAGAGAGCUAGAAAUGCAGAGAGAAGAAGGAGAGAAAGAGCCAGAGCUGUGUGGAGCAACCCAUGGAACUGCAACUUAGCAAAGGUACAUUUAUUGACACAGGACAUUCUUCAGGGUCUGGUCCAUCCAGCUCAAUACAUAAACUUUCCUGCCACUUUCUACCCACUCUUCUGGAUGCCAGAUCUACAACUCUGCAGCACAAAAGGGAGGAAGCCACCAGUGCAAAAGAGGUCUAUAUCAGCAGUGGUUGGUAGAGAUUUCUCCAAAUGUCUAUCAGACAAAGCCCUUGUCUGGACUUGAGCAGUAGUGGUCCUGGUUUCCCACAUCUCUAGGUCCCAGUUGGACUCAUUGGCAAGAAAGAUACUUCCCUUCUGCAUUCAUAGAAGGAAAAACUCUAAUCACCUGAGCAUGUUGAGGGUGAACAGAAAUUAUGGCAAUGUCAUGUCUUGUCCUAUGAUAUAAGCAGCAGAGCAGAGAAUUUCAGGAGCAAAACUUUGAAUUAAGCCAUCUGCUAGUCUUUAAAUGGUGAACACCACGCAACAACUCUUGUUGAACAGCCAAGAGCAUGCUUCUCACUGAUCUCUGCUAAGACUGUUUUGCAGACUUGUUAGUCCUUGACAAAAAGGUCUAGGACUAAGAAUUAUACUCCAUUCUCUCAAUAAGGCUGUAAUUAAUGUGCUCAGUGUCUGCACAGCUUUAGUGUAUAAUAACCAUGAAACAGUAGCAGAAUCAUUCCCUGCAGAGAGGAAAGGCUUCUUCUUGUCCUUCUGAUAAUCAUUGCUGUGUGACAAACUUUUUAUAGCUCUUCUUGCCCUUAGGUUUACUAUUCAUUUUUUUCUUCAAUAGAAACAUUUCCAACUAUUUUGCAAAGUAUACUGGCUUCACCAAAUGACUCACUGAUAAUUACUGUCAUAGGAGAGCCAACUGCUCAGUAUGUUAAUAUGCCUUUUGCUAUUCUUAGUUGUUAUGGUGGCUGUAAAAACCCAUCAUGAGAUGUUUGCUCUGUGUCCUAUCUCAAAACAUAACAUAAUAGAAAAAUAUCUGUCCCUGGUGUCUUUCUGCCUGCAGUGGUCAAGCACACAUAUUUCCAAACAUCUUGGUAACUCAAGUGAGCUAUAUUUCUUAAAGGUUUAGUGCUGUAAUUUAAGUCAGGAUUAAUCACAAAUGUAAAUCAUCAAAGUCAGUGGGAUGACUAAUGUGAACAAAGAUUAAAUGGUAAGACCAAGUCUCAACUGUGUUUAAGAAAUGACUACCAACCCCCCCCCCCCCCCCCCCCCCCCCAUGCCUCUGGUUUCUUUACACAUUUCUCACCUUGGAGUAUGACAAAUGAAGCAGAAAAGUAGUUGACUAAAAAAGCAGCAGUGAAUAGUGUUAGGUCGUAUUGAAAAAAUUGACUAAGAAUUUUGACUUUCCCUUGUCUUGACUCUGCUGGAGACCAGGCAGUGAAUUUUGUGACUUUUAUUACAAUUUUUGAGUAAUCUCAUUUAGAUGACUAACUGAAUGAGGUUUGUGUUAUUCUGUCAUUUGGGAAACUUCUAUGCAAGAUGCUUUUGUUUUGUUUUGGAGGUAAGAUUGCUCAUAUCCACAUGGACAGAAGACUGUUUAAAGUGUGAAAGGUUCUUGGGGGGAGUUGUUUAUUUGCCUCCUGUCACAAAAUUUCAUCUGCUGGGGCUUUAGACAAGAUUCUGCUAGCAGUUGCUUCUGUUGCUGCAGAUCAGGAGAGCCUCUGGACACAAAGAAUCUUUGGGCCCCUUCUAGCAGAACUGAUCUUACUACUCAAGAAAUCCCCACUUCACAGCAAAAUCCUCCAAAUUAUUGUCCUGUCUCAUUUAAUCAGAGUGAUUCAAAAGUCAACAGCGAGGCAGCUCUGAGAAAGUACACAUAUCAAAUCCCACUAGUCCUUGGCAAUUUCUGAACAAGGUGUCAAAAAGUAGAACUUAGGGUGGUGAGCUUGUUUCACCAUACUAAAAUAGUUCCCGAUGGUAAUCACUUGUCACUUGUCUCCCUCCUGUGCUGUUGGCCAUGAGAAAUUGAGAUCUACCUACCUGUGUGUCAUCUCCACCUUCCUUUCAAAUUUAAUGUAGGUGUAAGGUGUGCCUUGCCAUCUCAGUCACCCAGAGUGCCUGCUGGCUUUCCUUCUUGUGUUUUCAUGUGGUGCACUCCAGAUUUCCUACUGAUCAUGUCUGCUACUCAGUCACAGGAAGAGGGAAGCUUGGACUCAUCUGUGGGUUUUUUGGUGUGGUUUUUUUUUGUUGUUUUUGUUUUGUUUUUUAAUUAUUAUUUUAUUUUUAUUUUCAGUGAUAUACCUAGCAUUUCCUACUUUCUAUAUGCAUACUAUACACUUCAUAAAAUGGCACAUUUUCACAUUCUUGAGAGCUUUCCAAUGAAUUUUUUUUUUUUUUCCCAAUCCAAUGUAAAAUCUUUGGUGUUACAUGUUUCUGCUUUUCACAACACUGGCAGUACUAUCUUGAGAGUUUCAGUAAGAGCAGUGUUCUACACAGUAGCAGCAUAUGUGUUCACUAAUGAAAUGAACUUUUGAAAAUACUUCUUUUUGUGUUUAAAAUAUUCAGGUGAAAUCAGAUACUUCCAUCAGUUCUGGAGAUAUUGCUGUUCCCGACAUUGUCUCUCAAUCUAAAUGAGUAACAAGCCAGUGGCUGUAGGGGCAGAAUUGGCAUUUGUGGCCUAAGAAACAGAACAUUUUUGUUAGCUUUCAGACUCAUCUAAAAUACUCAAAAACCAUAACCUUCUUAGUUUGUCAUAUGAAUAGCCAUGAAGCCUUAAGUAGGCUGUUGCAGUGCAAAAGUAUCAUGUAAAUUUUCUUUAUUUAGUCCAAGCACUUAUUGUGAAAUUUUUGGUGUUUCUUCACACUUUACAGUUCCAGUAAACAUUGCCUCACUUAUGUCUGCCUAAGUUACAAUGUGAACAUCUAUUUCUCUUGGGUUUGCUUUCAGCAAGAGUAUAUUGCAGCACAAAUAUUUUUCCAGAACAGUUUCCACAAAUGUUCCCAGAUGCAUAGAAAUAUUUUGAUUAAUACUUCAAACUGUAGUCAAAUGACUUGCCUUUUUCUUUAAUGCAUUUUAUUUCUGUCUUUGAUCUUUAUAAAAUCACAGUAUCACCUAUUUUAUGGAACUUUCACUACUGCUCUUCUUGAGCAGGAAGCUCUGGAGGAGACAGUCAGUUUUAAACAUUUUUGAGCACUGAUCACACUAAAUAUUUAAAAAGAUUUGGUGAAUAUAGUUUUCUGUAAUUGCAUUGCUAUGUAGUAAACCUCCUACAGAUUUAAAGAAAGCAACAAAAGAACCAAGGAUAAUAGCAUCUCUUCAGUAAAUUUCAGAGGGUAUGUGUGUGUACACAUAUCUAAAUCAUUAAAUUGUGUUUAGUAGAGCAUAAUCUUAAGAAACAUUUUAUUCUUAUUUUGCUCCAGAUUUAUUUCAGUUGUUACAUUUUGUAAUACUGUAUGUGGACAGUAAUAAAAGUGAG